rnacentral:tRNA from 1 species
AUUUAAAUAGUUUAAUUAAAAUAUUAAUUUGUGGAAUUAAAGAUAAAAUUUAUUAUUUUUUUGAAUA